rnacentral:rRNA from 1 species
AUGAUUAACUUGUCAUUGCUACUAAUGCAUCAAUGUUUGGCACAUUUUCUGAUUGUGCUUACUGAAAUUGAGAGGUGUAGCUGGCAACCUACUUGUGAGAAGGAUGUAAAAGAUGAAGGUCGUUUCCAAGGAUAUGCCCAUAAAGAUGGCAUGUUACUUUGCGGUUGCGGUCAGUCUGAAGUAAUGACCGUUCCUGCAUUUCCUUCAUCUCAGCCAGCUUAUCUUUGGAACUUGCAAGUGAAUGAUACCCAUAACAGAUUGGCAGGCGCAGGUUUCCAUCUUAAUGAUACGUGCUGCAGUGUGAUGUUAGACUCAGAAAUGAACCUCUUCACAAACUGA